AAGGGAAGUUAUCCCUACAAAAUCAUAUAUUCUGGCUAUGCUCCAUCAUCCUCACACAACUAAUGUAAAUCAUGCACAACCCCGGUAUUGGCCAAGUAAUUGUUUUCGCACUCUUACUUUCUCAAACCUUUUAUAACUAUCACGCAAUACAUGAGUGUGAGCCAUGGAUAUAGCACUAUAGGUGUAAUAGAGUGUGGUGGUGGUUGUGAGACAAAAAGGAGGAGAUGGUCACAUUGACUCGGCGUAUCAAAGGGCUAUGGAGAUGCCCAUUAAUAGAUAUCAAUGUGAAUGAGUAGGGAUUGCCAUACAAGGGAUGCACUAGAUCAAUAAGUAUGUGAAAGCUCAAAAGGAGAACUAGUGGGUGUGCAUCCAACUUGCUUGCUCACGAAGACCUAGGGCAAUUUGAGGAAGCCCAUCGUUGGAAUAUACAAGCCAAGUUAUAU
rnacentral:lncRNA from 1 species